CCCUUUCAUGAAGAUUGGCUCCUGGGGAUGUCCAUUGUAGUGGAGAAUGCCAGGGAUAUGAGUGAAAGGGGGUGAGGCUGUGACUAUCACGAAGAGACCCUGCACUUCUGAAUUUGCCACUACACUACUGGACCACAGGACUGCAGGGAGUACCUUCAGCUGCAGGGCCAUUAAACUCUGCCCCUCUCUUUUCCUUUCAGACGCCUCCUUUCACUCCCUGAACUAUUUCUACAUGGCGUUUUCAGCGCCCAGCCGGGAGCUGCCCGUUUGUUCAGGUGGGCUACGUGGACGGCCAGCCCAUCACUCGCUAUGACAGCAACACGAGGGGGAAGAGGCCUGUAUGGUCCGGGAUGAAGAAGGUGGGGAUUAAGGACAAUCCCCAGCGCUGGGACAGGACGACUCAGAACUUUCAGAACUAUGAGCCGAUGAUCAUCGUCAACCUGGAAGUAGCAAAGGAAUGUUACAAUCAGCUGGGUGAAGACCAUGAGAGGCAUGUAUCUCCCCUCCCCCGGGCAAAUGAUGUGGGGAGGUGGCUGAUGGCCGGAAAGUGAAUGGGUUUGGGGCUCCACCCAGGACAGAAGCUGUCCCUUUGCUGGCAGGGCUGAGACUCCGCCUGCCGACAGAAAAACAUUCCGUCUCUAUUUCGCGAUGCAGCUGGUCCCCUCCGAUCCCUCCAAGCUCCGCCUGACUCCCCCGCCCCCCCCCCGAGAAUCUCGCUCUCUGGGCGGCCAGCGUCGAUUCCCGACAAGGCGCCGCCAACGCUCACUUUCCAUUUUCCUGCUAGCACCGUGCUAGUAGCACGACAUUUACCCAGCAACCGCUGCUGGAAUCGGCACUCAGUUUUCCGAUUGGUGGAAUGUUGCUCGUUCGGCCAAUUACUGCUUUUGCUCCGGAAUCCAGAGUGGGGCGCCUUUCCUCCGCUUCGCAGUAAGGGCUUCGUAUGCAACGAGAACGACGCGAGGUUUUGGGGCUCCGCCGAAGCCGAUGGGGCUGCUUCAAUGGCCCGUUUUGCUCCUGCUGGGGCCUGCUGCUUUCCUGCUGGGGGACUGUUCUGGGAGCAACCUGGCCAUCUAGGAGCCCCAAAGCAGGUGACUGGCAGGGAAGGGCAGGGAGAGCGCAAGGCCUCAGGAGGGAGAUCCCAGCCUCCAGUCAUUACACUUGAGGAAACCUUCUCAGUCCGUCCUCAUGCUGACCACUUUGGGAACUGAAGGAGGAGCAGCCGCCUUAUGGAAUGAUCUCCCUGAUGAGUAUGACCAACAAUGUCAGCACAACGCAGACAGCAGGGCUCCCAGUGCGAGAGGCGAGAGAGUAAGAAUGGAUCCUCUUCCUCUUUCCCAAAGCAUUUUAACUGUACUUUUUAACUUAUUAUAACUUAAUUGGAUUUUUGCACUGUAUUGUUUUUCUUACUGUAUUUAUUGUACUUUUUUGCUAUCGCUAGUCGGGCGGGAUAUAAGCCUAAUAAAUAAAUAAUAAUAUUCUGAAACCUUCA